rnacentral:lncRNA from 1 species
AGAUAUAAAGUGGAUCCAAUGAAAAGACUGAUGGUUAGUGACGGAGGGACAAGAUUCUCAACAACCACAAACAAGGACGGCGGUUCGAGCCAGAGCCAACGCAUUUAUCACUUCCUUAACACCUCCACGUUCACCGAAUACACGGUCUUGGACUCAGCUUGCGUUGUCAAAAUCGAUCCUAAUGCUCCUCUCAAGCAAAUGAGCCUCUUGAGCUGUGGUGUCUCCACGGGUUAGUUAUUAGAUCUAUUUAUAUAGCAAUUUGUAUUAUGGAUUUAUUGAAAAAACAGAAUCAUUAAUUUGGGUCCAUAGAUUAAUUCUUUAACAAUACGAAAUUUUUUGUUUUCUUGUUGGGAUUUUUGAAUAAUAUAGAUUAGGAUGUUAUUAUUAUCUCCUUUUUUGGAGCAAAUAUAGUGAGAUUUGGGAGUAGCUAAGGAACAAAGGAGGAGAUAGGACCUUGGUUUCUGAAACACCAUUUAUUUCUCUUAUACCAAACGCAGUUAAUUCACCUUGAUGAUACCAAUCAAUGGUUGUAGAAAUCUACAGCUGUAGAAAGUGAUACAUAUUCAAAUUUUUAAAUCAAUAGUCACAUGAAGUGUAUAUGUGUAUCCCUAUUAAAAGUUAUGUUUUCGUUCCGAGAAAAAAAAAAGGUGUGGGAGCAGCUUGGAACACUGCCAAAGUGAAAGAAGGUACAACCACGGCUGUCUUUGGAUUAGGUUCGGUUGGACUCGCUGUAAGAUUAUUACUCCCUCUGUUUUUUUAUAUUUGCAUAUAGAUUGAGAAAUAUUUAAUUUUCUAAAUAAAAAUAUCAUUAAUUGUUUAUCUAACCACAAUUUAACCAAUAAUAAAGUAGAAACUAUAAUAUCAUUGGUCAUCUAGCAUUAAUUAAUAAUAAAUUUUACAUAGAAAAUUGAAAACGUCAAAAUAAUUUGAAACAAAAAAAUUUCCCUAAAACGUCAUAUAUAAAAAAAACGGAGGGAGUAGUAUUUUUUUCCAUACACCCCUCAUUAUAAGUUAAGUUUUAAUUUAUGUAGUACUCCAUAACUCAUAAUAAUAUAUCUAUACAUAUUUUAUGAAUGGGAACUGAAGGUUGCUGAAGGUGCACGAGCAAGAGGAGCUUCUAGGAUCAUUGGUGUUGAUGCCAAUGCUUCCAAAUUUGAGAAAGGUAUUACUUUCUCUUCGAUUUUUUUUAAUAUGAUUUGUCUUCGGCUUACUAAGUGAAGCGGAUGGUUAACAGCCACUGCAAUAAGAUUUCCAUAUAUUCGCAAUCUGAAGUUCUCAACAUGCUUAAAAUACUCCAAACCAUUAUUGCAGGUAAAUUGAUGGGAGUAACAGAUUUCAUAAACCCUAAAGACUUAACAAAGCCAGUACAUGAGGUACUGUCAACUUUAUAACACAACAAAUCAUCAAUAAUUAUUAAAUCAACUUAGUAUUAAUUGACUUUAACAAAUGAUUCAUCAAUAUAAAAAAAAAAAAUAGAGGAUACGAGAGCUGACCAGAGGAGGCGUGGACUAUAGUUUUGAAUGCACAGGAAACGUCGAUGUUCUUCGCGAAGCCUUUUUAUCCACUCACGCCGUAAGUCCUGACUAAUGUGAUCAACGAGUUGUUAAGUUUACUUGAUAAACAAGUUAAUUAGUAACUUGAGCAACACGUAACUGUUUAAAUAAACUGAAUGUUAGGGUUGGGGAUCGACGGUUCUAGUAGGAAUAUAUGCGACACCAAGAACACUGCCUCUUCAUCCGAUGGAGCUUUUCGACGGCCGCAAAAUCACUGGUUCUGUAUUUGGCGGUUUCAAGCCCAAAUCUCAGCUACCAAGUUUUGCUCAACAAUGCAUGAAAGGGGUCUGAGUUUUUUUUCCUCUAGAUUCUAUACACAAACUUCUUUAACUCGACUUAGUUUUGCGUUUUGGUGGAGAUUGAUUGGGUUUUUUAUUUUGUAGGUUGUGAAAUUGGAACCUUUUAUCACCAAUGAGCUUCCAUUUGAGAAGAUAAACGAUGCGUUUCAGCUGCUUCGCGAUGGAAAAUCUCUUCGUUGUCUUCUCCAAAUUGCUAAGUUUCUCAAGAAAUAAUUCUACACAUUUCCAAAGUUUUAUUACUCUAUUAUUUACCUAGCAAACACUUGAUCAACCAUUAUUUGUGCUCAGGGAUUGUUUAAGACUCAAAUGAUCUUGUGAUGUCAUAUAAGUUCUUAUUAUUCAGUCGAUUAUGUUAUACGAUAACCACAAAAAAAUUGAUUACUCAUAUGUCAUACGUUGCAACUUGCAACUACGUGUGGAUGUCUCUUUCUAUUGAAAUAGAAAACGCACAAUCAAUUAACUGAUCUGUGUAAAAAAUGCAAUUGUUACUUGUGGCUUGUAGUGUGCAUGCUAUGUUUUUGAAACCAUUCGAAUAACUGCGUAUAUCAAAUAAAUCAGAAAGUGGAUAAUUACGUCAGUGUGAGCAUGGGUUUACACGACAACACUCUUGUCGAUUGCUUGACAUGCAAACUUCACUCUGCUUCACCAAACCAACCAUUGCAGACUUGCAGUUCACUUAUUAACUAUUGCCAAUGUUUAUUUUUCCGAAAAAUAAAAACUAUUGCCUAUGUUUAAUUAAUUAAGUUAUUCAUCAUAAAACCUUUUAUUUAAUGGAAUAGUUUACAACUUACUUUUUGCCUCACCACUCACACCAGAUGCAACUAUAACCAUAAGAUCAUCGCAUUCAAAUGUAUCAAUUAACUUGAUUGGUGCGAUUGAUGAUUAAAAAUAACACUUGUUAACGUGGAAGAGCCGAUUAUUCUUGAUAUAUAGGAUAUGCAAAUACCAAAGUGAUCGUACAUGAUUAAAAUCAUUUUGGCAUUUGUGAACUUUUUUGUUUGACGGGCAGGCACACUUAUUCUCUUCCACCCUCAGACCAAUACGACCACUUGAACCAAACAUGGUAACCAGAGAACUAAAACCAACAAUAUAUAACUUCGUUUUUUAUCCAUUGUAACUAUUAAGGUAAACCUUAAUAUAUCUCUUUGCUUUAUUGGUUGUUUCAUUCCGGUUUGUUUACCCAUACCACCUCAAGAUUCAGUAAUAAAAUAGCUGUUUGUUGCCACAAAAAAACUAUUAAAGUAAACCUCUAGUAUUAUCUUGAAUAUUUAAUUUUCUCUCUUUAUUGUGACGUAGUGACCAUGUGAGUUAUCUUUGUUCUAUACAACUCACUAGGUAGUAACCCGCGGUAUACGUGGAGUGAAAUAGUUUAUUAGAUUGUUUAUUGUAUGUUAUACUAAUGGAUUUGUUGUAUAGUUUUUUCUUGGAAUGAGCAUUCAUAUAUCCAUCAGGAUUCAAUUAAUUUAUUCGGAUUUCAAAUUUUAGGGUUAGAAAUUUAAAUCAUAUUCGGAUAUUUACAAAUUUUAGUUUGGAUUUGGUUCGAAUCAUUGUGGGUUCGGUUCAGAUUUGAGUUUGGAUACUCAUUUUGAUUAAAAAAAUUAGUGUGAACACAUUAAAUUGUCUGCGAUAUAAUUAAAAAAAUUAGUAUGUGAACGCAUUAAUUGUUAAAUGAUUGUGAGGUCGACUUGUCAGCAUACUCAAAUUGAAAUUAAUGUGAAACUGGCACAUAUCCAAUAUAGUGUGAAAUCAUUAAUUGUUAAUGCUUUUUUUAAUACUAGGUAAUAACCCGCGCUUUGCGCGGAAUAUGAUUAUUAGUUUUGUUAUUUUUAAAUAAGGAGACAUUAAUAUAUUUAAUCAAGAUAUUGGUUCGGUUUUAGGUUUUGUUUUUGGUUUUUAAUCUCUUCAAAAUAUAACAAUCAUUUUAAAUUAAUAUUUAUUUGGUUUGUUCGGUUAAAAUGUUUAAUGUUUUUGUUUUCUUUUUUCCUGUGAUGAUCAAAAAUUACUAUUAUUUGUUUUACAUUUUAUGAAUCUUAGAUAAUCGUGAUGUCGAACCAAUGAUUUCAUAUUAUAAUUUCUAAACAGAUAAUAGUUAAAAAAAGAAAAGAAAAUUAUUAAGACAAAUCAUUUCACUAAAAUUUGGUCGAUAGUGAAAGAAGUAUUAAGGAAAAAAAUAUUUUAACUUCCAAAAAAGUUAGAUAUUUCAGUUGUAGUAAAUACUUAGUUAUAAAGUGUUCACGUCAAUGUGCACAUAUAUGUGUAUGUAAAAGUAUACAAAGGUGAUUGAUAAAUAUAUAAAGAUAGUGUUAAUUAAUAUUAAAUGACAUUUUUCAAAAUAAUACAUGAAAAAUAAAAUUCUUAAAAUGAAAUUAUUUAAAACCAAAAAUAUUGUAAAAUUUAUAUAAACUAUGAUAUAUAACUUAUAUAUAAUUAUUUAAAUAUAUGUAUAUAUAUAUGUAUAUAACGGAUCAAAUUGGAUAUUCGUUCCUAUAAAUAUUGAUAUUUGUGAUUUGUUUUUUUUUUUUAUGGAUAUUGCAUUUUAGUAUUUGAUUUGCUUUGUAAAGUGGCGAAUAUCUGGAUUUUUCGGUUCGAAUCAAAAUGGAUAACGAAUCGAAUCAAAAUUUAUGAAUAAUUAUCCAGUUCUAUUCGUAAACAGUAAAAAUAACGUAAAAAAAAUCAUGCAUGUGAGUUUUAUAUUAAGAAAACGUAUGUACAUAGUAUUUUAAAACAAGAUUUAUAAUAUUUUAAAACUAGAAUUAAACAACAAGAAUAUUACACAAAACCAUAAUAAAAACUUAUUAAAAAGACACAUGAAGACAUAAUUAUUACUCAAAUUUAAAUAUUAGAAAACACUAAUAGUCUGGUAAAUUUGCUCAGAAACCUUCAAAAUCUCCAAAAUAUUGUCCAAACAAAUUUUGUGUAACCGAAGAUGAUUGUUGUUGUUGGUCUUGACGCAUUUUUCGUAUGAUUAUUUCUUGUUCAGAUCGAAUGUAUUCACGAAUAUUAAUAUCAUCGAUAGAAUCUAAGUUUUUUAGCAAUAUUUUGUUUUCCUCUUUUACUUCUUUAAAAACUAACUUUUACUUCAUUUUGGAGUCGUAAUUCAAUCAUCUCAUGAUUUUUUUCCCUCCUUGUUGUACUUUCGUUUAAAAGAUCAAGGAUUUUUUCGUUUCAGCAGAUUUCAACAAUUUUUGGCUCGUAAUCUACAAAUAAAAAAUAAAGAAAAUCAUUUCUUACUUCAAAAUGCACUAGUUGAUCAUAUAUGAGAGCAUUAUGAGAAUAAUUUUAUGGAAUAAUGUAAUAUUUUCUUGCAGUUUAAUAUUUAAUUAUGUACUUUUAUGUAUAGUUUAUAUUUUAGUGUAAGAUUUUUUUUAAUUAAUAUUUCUGUAAUAUUUAUAUAUAUGUUCUAGUUAUUUAUAGAAGUUUUAUGAAUUUACAUCAACUAUGACAAAUAUAAGGACCAUAGAGUAAAAUAUAAAUAAUUUUGAAGUUAGGUUUGAAGUUUUACUUUUGGAGAAGAACACAUUGAAACUUCAAAUAUAGAGUUUUGGAAACUUCAAAAUAGAGUUUCUUUUUGGAGAUGCUCUUAUAAGAACCAUAAAAUUUGUUCGACGCGACGCUGAUUAUUUAAGAGGCGUACCAAUUAGGUAUUCAAUAUUAGGAUGUAACACUGAUAUUCCAAACGUAGAAAAACGAGUUCACAAAUCUUAUGUGAAGAUAAAAUGGUUUGAAAUGUUGUGCAUGAUUUUUUUUUUUUUUUUUGAGAAAUGGCUCUCUAAAUGUUGUGCACAAUACAUGAAAGUUAGUUGGAACACAGAAAAUUAAGACAUCAUCGGCUAACUUGGUUCUUAAUUACCCGGAGAGAUUGGGUGGGUAUGAGAUUAUCAUUAUGACGGUAGUAAAGAGAUUGACCGGUAAUAUCAUUCUUAUCGAACCCAACUCCUUCGGAAUUAUUGACUCAGUUAGGAUACUAUACAUGUGACUCAACAUCCUCACUAUAAUUAGACAUAUAGAUCCCAAAUUCUGGAUAUAUAUAUAUAUAGAGCUACACUCCUAGAAAGACAAUUUUAAUCUAACAACAACAAAAAGAACAGCAAGAACAUGGCAGAGACUCAAGGAAAGGUCAUCACUUGCAGAGGUAAGUAGCUCACAAUGUGAUCGUUUGUUAUAUCAUUUUCAUGAUCAUGCUAAUAGAUAAUGAUACAUGUAUGUAGCUGCCGUUGCAUGGGGUCCAAAAGAGCCGCUUGUAAUACAAGAAAUAUGCGUCGAUCCUCCUCAGGAAAUGGAAGUCCGGGUUAAAAUCCUUUACACCUCCAUUUGCCAUACCGAUCUCGGAACUUGGACCGGCGUGGUAAUAAACACACCUAUCUUCAAAUCAUUAGAAAAUCAUGCUUCUCGAUUAACAUUACAAUAUAAUUCUGAUCCCAUCUUUGUAUAAAAAAGAACGAAGCUGAACGAGCAUUUCCGAGGAUUCUUGGGCACGAAGCUGUCGGGUAUAUGCCAAUUCACAUUGGGAUAUAUCUACUAUUUAAACCUACAUGUGACGCUAAUAAAACAUCUUUUUUUCAUCUUCUGGAUAUGAACAGAGUGGUAGAAAGUGUAGGAGAAGGAGUUAAAGAUGUGAAAGAAGGAGACUAUGUGAUUCCGGCAUUCAAUGGAGAAUGUGGUGAAUGCAGAGUUUGUAAGAAAGAGGUAAGUAAUCUAUGUGAGAGAUAUAAAGUGGAUCCAAUGAAAAGACUGAUGGUUAAUGACGGAGGAACAAGAUUCUCAACAACCACAAACAAGGACGGCGGUUUGAGCCAGAGCCAACGCAUUUAUCACUUCCUUAACACCUCCACGUUCACCGAAUACACGGUCUUGGACUCGGCUUGCGUUGUCAAAAUCGAUCCUAAUGCUCCUCUCAAGCAAAUGAGCCUCUUGAGCUGUGGUGUCUCCACGGGUUAGUUAUUAGAUC